rnacentral:rRNA from 1 species
AGUGAACGCUGGCGGUAGGCCUAACACAUGCAAGUCGAACGGCAGCACAGUAAGAGCUUGCUCUUACGGGUGGCGAGUGGCGGACGGGUGAGGAAUACAUCGGAAUCUACUUUUUCGUGGGGGAUAACGUAGGGAAACUUACGCUAAUACCGCAUACGACCUACGGGUGAAAGCAGGGGAUCUUCGGACCUUGCGCGAUUGAAUGAGCCGAUGUCGGAUUAGCUAGUUGGCGGGGUAAAGGCCCACCAAGGCGACGAUCCGUAGCUGGUCUGAGAGGAUGAUCGGCCACACUGGAACUGAGACACGGUCAAGACUCCUACGGGAGGCAGCAGUGGGGAAUAUUGGACAAUGGGCGCAAGCCUGAUCCAGCCAUACCGCGUGGGUGAAGAAGGCCUUCGGGUUGUAAAGCCCUUUUGUUGGGAAAGAAAAGCAGCAGGUUAAUACCCCGCUGUUCUGACGGUACCCAAAGAAUAAGCACCGGCUAACUUCGUG